AACCAACAGGGAUUGCCCUAGUAACGGCGAGUGAAGCGGCAACAGCUCAAAUUUGAAAGCUGGCUCUCGGGCCCGCAUUGUAAUUUGCAGAGGAUGCUUCUGGCGACGCGCCUUCCGAGUUCCCUGGAACGGGACGCCAUAGAGGGUGAGAGCCCCGUCCGGUCGUGCGCCUAGCCUCUGUGAAGCUCCUUCGACGAGUCGAGUAGUUUGGGAAUGCUGCUCAAAAUGGGAGGUAUACGUCUUCUAAAGCUAAAUACCGGCCAGAGACCGAUAGCGCACAAGUAGAGUGAUCGAAAGAUGAAAAGCACUUUGAAAAGAGAGUUAAAAAGUACGUGAAAUUGUUGAAAGGGAAGCGCUCAUGACCAGACUUGGGCUGGCCCGAUCAUCCGGCGUUCUCGCCGGUGCACUCGGGCCGCCCAGGCCAGCAUCAGCUUUCGCCGGGGGAUAAAGGCGGCGGGAAUGUGGCUCCCUCGGGAGUGUUAUAGCCCGCCGUGCAAUACCCUGGUGGGGGCUGAGGUUCGCGCGUAUGCACGGAUGCUGGCGUAAUGGUUAUCAGCGACC
rnacentral:rRNA from 1 species